UACGUAGGGCGCAAGCGUUAUCCGGAAUUAUUGGGCGUAAAGGGCGCGUAGGCGGCUUGACAAGUCAAAGGUGAAAUCCCUCGGCUCAACUGAGGAACUGCCUUUGAAACUGUCAGGCUUGAGGCCGGGAGGGGUAGCGGAAUUCCCAGUGUAGCGGUGAAAUGCGUAGAUAUUGGGAGGAACACCAGUGGCGAAGGCGGCUACCUGGACCGGUACUGGACGCUGAUGCGCGAAAGCGUGGGUAGCAAACGAGGA
rnacentral:rRNA from 1 species